AGAGUUUGAUCCUGGCUCAGAUUGAACGCUGGCGGCAGGCCUAACACAUGCAAGUCGAACGGUAACAGGAAGAAGCUUGCUUCUUUGCUGACGAGUGGCGGACGGGUGAGUAAUGUCUGGGAAACUGCCUGAUGGAGGGGGAUAACUACUGGAAACGGUAGCUAAUACCGCAUAACGUCGCAAGACCAAAGAGGGGGACCUUCGGGCCUCUUGCCAUCGGAUGUGCCCAGAUGGGAUUAGCUUGUUGGUGGGGUAACGGCUCACCAAGGCGACGAUCCCUAGCUGGUCUGAGAGGAUGACCAGCCACACUGGAACUGAGACACGGUCCAGACUCCUACGGGAGGCAGCAGUGGGGAAUAUUGCACAAUGGGCGCAAGCCUGAUGCAGCCAUGCCGCGUGUAUGAAGAAGGCCUUCGGGUUGUAAAGUACUUUCAGCGGGGAGGAAGGGAGUAAAGUUAAUACCUUUGCUCAUUGACGUUACCCGCAGAAGAAGCACCGGCUAACUCCGUGCCAGCAGCCGCGGUAAUACGGAGGGUGCAAGCGUUAAUCGGAAUUACUGGGCGUAAAGCGCACGCAGGCGGUUUGUUAAGUCAGAUGUGAAAUCCCCGGGCUCAACCUGGGAACUGCAUCUGAUACUGGCAAGCUUGAGUCUCGUAGAGGGGGGUAGAAUUCCAGGUGUAGCGGUGAAAUGCGUAGAGAUCUGGAGGAAUACCGGUGGCGAAGGCGGCCCCCUGGACGAAGACUGACGCUCAGGUGCGAAAGCGUGGGGAGCACACAAAAUUAGAUACCCUGGUAGUCCACGCCGUAAAC
rnacentral:rRNA from 1 species